GUGGUUGUUGUAUGUUUAAUUAAAAUUAGUGUACUUAUCAUCUUUUGUACUGAAAUAACAAAAAAGCAUGGAGAAUCUUUUGGAUUACUCUGUUUCAGAAGAUGCAUUGGAGUGAGCGAAAAAGGUUCAAGUAGUCUCCAUACAAAAUCUAAAUGUGUAAGCUAUCUUUUUUUUUAACUUAAUCUUUUAUCUCUUUCAACUUUAUAUUUAUUGAAUUGUAAAUGUUGAUUCACUGACUGCUUUAAUUUAGUUCAAGUUUGAC
rnacentral:lncRNA from 1 species